CCCUUAGAUGUUCUGGGCUGCACGCGCGCUACACUGAAGCGUUCAACGAGUAUUCACCUUGCCCGGGAGGGUUGGGUAAUCUUUUGAAAACGCUUCGUGAUGGGGAUAGAUUAUUGCAAUUAUUAAUCUUCAACGAGGAAUUCCUAGUAAGCGCGAGUCAUCAGCUCGUACUGAUUACGUCCCUGCCCUUUGUACACACCGUCCGUCGCUACUACCGACUGGUAAGAUAUCUAAGGAGCAUGGACGUCGGCAGACGCGGUUCGCGCCGUGUCUGCGGGCAGAAGCGCCCCGCAGAUUUCUUGCUGGAGGAAGUAAAAGUCGUAACA
rnacentral:rRNA from 1 species